AACGAACGCUGGCGGCAGGCUUAACACAUGCAAGUCGAACGCCCCGCAAGGGGAGUGGCAGACGGGUGAGUAACGCGUGGGAACAUACCCUUUUCUACGGAAUAGCUCUGGGAAAUUGGAAUUAAUACCGUAUACGCCCUACGGGGGAAAGAUUUAUCGGGGAAGGAUUGGCCCGCGUUGGAUUAGCUAGUUGGUGGGGUAAAGGCCUACCAAGGCGACGAUCCAUAGCUGGUCUGAGAGGAUGAUCAGCCACAUUGGGACUGAGACACGGCCCAAACUCCUACGGGAGGCAGCAGUGGGGAAUAUUGGACAAUGGGCGCAAGCCUGAUCCAGCCAUGCCGCGUGAGUGAUGAAGGCCUUAGGGUUGUAAAGCUCUUUCACCGAUGAAGAUAAUGACGGUAGUCGGAGAAGAAGCCCCGGCUAACUUCGUG
rnacentral:rRNA from 1 species